GAGGGAUGGUUCAGUGGUUAAGAGUACUGACUGUUCUUCCAGAGGACCUGGGUUCAAUUCCCAGCGCCCUCA
rfam:Cricetulus griseus cell line CHO-K1, whole genome shotgun sequence.